AAAUCAGCAGAUGAGCCCCCAGCGCGCCUGCGGCCCACACACUGCGGCCGUAACAGUUAAACAGACGGGGAACAUUCAUGUGCGUAGAGCUCUUCACGGGGCGAUACAGAAAUGUGUCGUUCUAAAGCGUUAACGACCUGCAAUUUGCAUAUCCUCCAACACAUGGAUUUUACUGAUUCAAUUAUGGAUGUGUGCAAAGAAUCUGCUGCUCGCACCCUGUGAGGAGGGUUACCUCUGUGGAGCCGGUGAAGGCGAUCUUGUUGAUCUGAGGGUGAGAAGAAAUUGCUGCUCCCACUGUGGGCCCGAAUCCUGGCACAAUGUUCACCACUCCUGGAGGGAACCCGGCCUGGGAAGAAAUCAAGAUAGCACUUGAAGAAGAACGGACUUCAUCCACCACGGAUCCACAUUUGGGCCGAGAGAGCCGUGGCUGCCUCACAUCCCCACAGGGAACCCGGGCCGGGCUGGAUUUACCCAGGACCCAGAAGCAGUUGACCGUGGGCACCCUGGGAGCUGACCUGGGCUUCUCA
rnacentral:lncRNA from 1 species